rnacentral:rRNA from 1 species
GAUGAACGCUGGCGGCGUGCUUAACACAUGCAAGUCGAACGGUGAAGGCGGAGCUUGCUCUGCUGGAUCAGUGGCGAACGGGUGAGUAACGCGUGAGCAAUCUGCCCCUGACUCUGGGAUAAGCGCUGGAAACGGCGUCUAAUACUGGAUACGAGCUGCGAAGGCAUCUUCAGCAGCUGGAAAGAACUUCGGUCAGGGAUGAGCUCGCGGCCUAUCAGCUUGUUGGUGAGGUAACGGCUCACCAAGGCGUCGACGGGUAGCCGGCCUGAGAGGGUGACCGGCCACACUGGGACUGAGACACGGCCCAGACUCCUACGGGAGGCAGCAGUGGGGAAUAUUGCACAAUGGGCGAAAGCCUGAUGCAGCAACGCCGCGUGAGGGACGACGGCCUUCGGGUUGUAAACCUCUUUUAGCAGGGAAGAAGCGAAAGUGACGGUACCUGCAGAAAAAGCGCCGGCUAACUACGUG